GCCGCAUGUACCACCCCAGCACAGUCCUUUCUGCUCCAGUUUAACUUUGUAAACCACCUCCUCAAACUUCAAAGUUAUAGGAUAUGUGGAGAGUUGGAGGACACACUGUGGAUUGGCUUGUAUGGGGUAGGCAAGAACAGCCCCAUCAUGAGCUUCAGACAUCUCUGCCAGAUUGUACGUCCGCUGGAACACUGUUUUGACGCUACGCAGAUGAGGGAUGUGGCCAAGAUGAAAUGAUGUUAUAUUACUGUACGUUUUCGGUAAUGGUGGUGGUGGUGGUGGAGGCAGUGGGCGGCUGUUUCUGAUGAGAUUAGGGUAAGGGAGAAGUUAAGG
rnacentral:misc_RNA from 1 species